GCAUCUGUAGCUCAGUUGGUUAGAGCGCUGCACGAGAAUCGCAGGGCCGUAGGUUCAAUUCCUACCAGAGGAC